rnacentral:misc_RNA from 1 species
GAUGAAGAACGCAGCGAAAUGCGAUAAGUAGUGUGAAUUGCAGAAUUCAGUGAAUCAUCGAAUCUUUGAACGCACAUUGCGCCCCUUGGUAUUCCAUGGGGCAUGCCUGUUCGAGCGUCAUUUGUACCUUCAAGCUUUGCUUGGUGUUGGGUGUUUGUCCUGAGGGACUCGCCUUAAAGUAAUUGGCAGCCAGUGUUUUGGUUUUGAAGCGCAGCACAAGUCGCGAUUCAAAGCUAUACGCCAGCUUCCACAAGCCUUUUUCACUUUUGACCUCGGAUCGGGUAGGGAUACCCGCUGAACUUAAGCAUAUCAAUAAGCGGAGGA